UACAGAGGUCUCAACCGUUGUUCGGAUUCAUUGGGCGUAAAGGGUGCGUAGGCGGUGGGGCAAGUCAGGUGUGAAAUCCCGGAGCUCAACUCCGGAACUGCACUUGAUACUGCUUUACUAGAGUACUGGAGAGGAGACUGGAAUUUACGGUGUAGCAGUGAAAUGCGUAGAUAUCGUAAGGAAGACCAGUGGCGAAGGCGAGUCUCUGGACAGUUACUGACGCUGAGGCACGAAGGCCAGGGGAGCAAACGGG
rnacentral:rRNA from 1 species